CCUACGGGGGGCUGCAGUGGGGAAUAUUGCACAAUGGGGGAAACCCUGAUGCAGCGACGCCGCGUGAGUGAAGAAGUAUCUCGGUAUGUAAAGCUCUAUCAGCAGGGAAGAAAAUGACGGUACCUGACUAAGAAGCCCCGGCUAACUACGUGCCAGCAGCCGCGGUAAUACGUAGGGGGCAAGCGUUAUCCGGAUUUACUGGGUGUAAAGGGAGCGGAGACGGCGUUGCAAGUCUGGUGUGAAAGCCCAUGGCUUAACCAUGGUUCUGCACUGGAAACUGUAGAGCUGGAGUGCGGGAGGGACAGGCGGAAUUCCUAGUGUAGCGGUGAGAUGCGUAGAUCUUAGGAGGAACACCGGCGGCGAAGGCGGCCUGCUGGACCGUAACUGACGUUGAGGCUCGAAAGCGUGGGGAGCAAACAGGAUUAGAUACCCCGGUAGUC
rnacentral:rRNA from 1 species